UUCUUGGAUUGACUGGAAGACUAACUACUGCGAAAGCAUUUGCCAAGGAUGUUUUCNCCCUNUAAGAACGAAGGUUAGGGGAUCGAAAACGAUUAGAUACCCCUUNUAGGCUUAACAGUAAACUAUGCCGACUAGGGAUCGGGCGAUGUUCUUCUUUUGACUCG
rnacentral:rRNA from 1 species